CCGAAUCGUCUUCCUUAGACCAUC
rnacentral:siRNA from 1 species